AACACAACAUCCGGACAAGCAC
rnacentral:miRNA from 1 species